rnacentral:rRNA from 1 species
AUAUCAAUAGCGGAGGAAAAGAAACUAACAAGGGUUCCCCUAGUAACUGCGAGUGAAGCGGGAAAAGCUCAAAUUUAAAAUCUGGCGGUCCUUGGCCGUCCGAGUUGUAAUCUAGAGAAGCGUUACCCGCGCUGGACCGUGUACAAGUCUCCUGGAAUGGAGCGUCAUAGAGGGUGAGAAUCCCGUCUCUGACACGGACUACCAGGGCUUUGUGGUAUGCUCUCAAAGAGUCGAGUUGUUUGGGAAUGCAGCUCAAAAUGGGUGGUAAAUUCCAUCUAAAGCUAAAUAUUGGCGAGAGACCGAUAGCGAACAAGUACCGUGAGGGAAAGAUGAAAAGAACUUUGGAAAGAGAGUUAAACAGUACGUGAAAUUGCUGAAAGGGAAACGCUUGAAGUCAGUCGCGUUGGCCGGGGAUCAGCCUCGCAUUUGCGUGGUGUACUUUCCGGUUGACGGGUCAGCAUCAAUUUUGACCGCUGGAAAAAGGCUUAGGGAAUGUGGCAGCUUCGGCUGUGUUAUAGCCCUUUGUCACAUACAGCGGUUGGGAUUGAGGAACUCAGCACGCCGCAAGGCCGGGUUUCGACCACGUUCGUGCUUAGGAUGCUGGCAUAAUGGCUUUAAGCGACCCGUCUUGAAACACGGACCAAGGAGUCUAACAUGCCUGCGAGUGUUUGGGUGGAAAACCCGAGCGCGCAAUGAAAGUGAAAGUUGAGAUCCCUGUCGUGGGGAGCAUCGACGCCCGGACCAGAACUUUUGGGACGGAUCCGCGGUAGAGCAUGUAUGUUGGGACCCGAAAGAUGGUGAACUAUGCCUGAAUAGGGUGAAGCCAGAGGAAACUCUGGUGGAGGCUCGUAGCGAUUCUGACGUGCAAAUCGAUCGUCAAAUUUGGGUAUAGGGGCGAAAGACUAAUCGAACCAU